rnacentral:tRNA from 1 species
GGAAUAUAGCUCAGUUGGUAGAGUGCUUGCCUUGCAUGCUCCAAGGUCCUGGGUUCAAUCCCCAGCACCA